AACCUGGUUGAUCCUGCCAGUAGUCAUAUGCUUGUCUCAAAGACUAAGCCAUGCAUGUCUAAGUAUAAACGCUUCUAUACUGUGAAACUGCGAAUGGCUCAUUAAAUCAGUUAUAGUUUAUUUGAUGGUUUCUUACUACUUGGAUAACCGUGGUAAUUCUAGAGCUAAUACAUGCACGAAGUCCCGACUCUUCGAAAGGGAUGUAUUUAUUAGAUCCAAAACCAAUGCGAGUCUCUCGGGGCUCGGUUUCUUGGUGAUUCAUGAUAACUGCUCGAACCGUAUGGCCCUUGCGCCGACGGUGCUUCAUUCAAAUUUCUGCCCUAUCAACUUUCGAUGGUACGGUAGUGGCCUACCAUGGUUGCAACGGGUGACGGAGAAUUAGGGUUCGAUUCCGGAGAGGGAGCCUGAGAAACGGCUACCACAUCCAAGGAAGGCAGCAGGCGCGCAAAUUACCCAAUCCCGACUCGGGGAGGUAGUGACAAUAAAUAACAAUGCCGGGCUAUUGUAGUCUGGCAAUUGGAAUGAGUACAAUCUAAAUCCCUUAACGAGGAACAAUUGGAGGGCAAGUCUGGUGCCAGCAGCCGCGGUAAUUCCAGCUCCAAUAGCGUAUAUUAAAGUUGUUGCAGUUAAAAAGCUCGUAGUUGGAUUUCGGGGUGGCCUGCCUGGUCCACCGCAAGGUGAGUACUGGUCAGCCGCCCUUCCUCUCGAAAGCCCCGACUGCUCUUCACUGCAGUGGUCGGGUAGUUCGGGACGUUUACUUUGAAAAAAUUAGAGUGUUCAAGGCAGGCUAUCGCCUGAAUACAUUAGCAUGGAAUAAUGGAAGAGGACCUCGGUCCUAUUUUGUUGGUUUCUAGGGCCGAAGUAAUGAUUAAGAGGGACAGUUGGGGGCAUUCGUAUUUAAUUGUCAGAGGUGAAAUUCUUGGAUUUAUGAAGACGAACUAGUGCGAAAGCAUUUGCCAAGGAUGUUUUUCAUUAAUCAAGAACGAAAGUUAAGGGGUUCGAAAGAACGAUCA
rnacentral:rRNA from 1 species